CAGAACAUGGCUCAGUGGUAGAGCAACUGGCUUAUAUCCAGCGUGCCGGUGGUCCGAUUCCAUUUGUUUUGA
rnacentral:tRNA from 1 species